AUUGAACGCUGGCGGCAGGCCUAACACAUGCAAGUCGAGCGAGCGGCGGACGGGUGAGUAAUGCCUGGGAAUUGCCCAGUCGAGGGGGAUAAUAGUCGGAAACGACUGCUAAUCCCGGAUCCGAAUGGAUUGCCCAGGGGGGGUUAGCUAGUUGGUGAGGUAAUGGCGCACCAAGGCGACUAUCCAUGGCUGGUCUGAGAGGAGGAUCAGCCACACGGGAACGGAUACACGGUCCAGACGCGGACGGGAGGCAACAGUGGGGAAUAUUGCACAAUGGGGGCAACCCUGAGGCAGCCAUGCCGCGUGUAUGAAGAAGGCCUUCGGGUUGUAAAGCACUGUCAGCGAGGAGGCGUUACUCGCAGAAGAAGCACCGGCUAACUCCGUGCCAGCAGCCGCGGUAAUAC
rnacentral:rRNA from 1 species